rnacentral:pre_miRNA from 1 species
GUGAGUUUAGUAGAGUUUAAAGCUAAACACUUUGCUCGCUACGACGCCAAUGCGAAAGCUCUACCCAAACUCACUAUCA